CCCUCCUUACUCCACAACUACAAACACCCAUGCAUGAAAAACUCAAACCUCUCACAGAUCUAUUUCUUCAGAGAAACACCUGCCCACUCGGCACUGUGGGGAGAGAAUUUGUCCGCUGUGCGUCGGAAAGGAGAAGGAAAGCUGCGGCCCUCAGCCAGCUGUCCUUUAAAAAGUUAAUCACUGUAGGCAACAACUAAUUUUUCUCAUGGCUGAUCCUUCAAAAUAUACAUGGGGAAAACUGGAAAGUGCAGCAGACUGUGGAAAUCUACUUCUCUGGACAGAGCCUUCUGACAGUUCCACAAUGAAGACAAACGCAUACGCAGAGAGAGAUGUCAGAGUGGAAAAGCUCCUGAAAUGAGACCUAUCAGCUAACUGGCAAAGACAUAAUAGGCUGCAUGCCUUUGCAGAACUAUAAUAAACAAUCUUUGUUUUCA